UACGUAGGGUGCAAGCGUUGUCCGGAAUUAUUGGGCGUAAAGAGCUCGUAGGCGGUUUGUUGCGUCGGCUGUGAAAUCCCGGGGCUCAACCCCGGAACUGCACUUGAUACUGCAGUGCUCGAGGACUGGAGAGGAGAUCGGAAUUCAUGGUGUAGCAGUGAAAUGCGUAGAUAUCAUGAGGAAGACCAGUGGCGAAGGCGGAUCUCUGGACAGUUCCUGACACUGAGGCACGAAGGCCAGGGGAGCAAACGGG
rnacentral:rRNA from 1 species